rnacentral:rRNA from 1 species
UGGGGAAUUUUGGACAAUGGGCGCAAGCCUGAUCCAGCCAUGCCGCGUGCGGGAAGAAGGCCUUCGGGUUGUAAACCGCUUUUGUCAGGGAAGAAAUCUUCUGAGUUAAUACCUCGGGAGGAUGACGGUACCUGAAGAAUAAGCACCGGCUAACUACGUGCCAGCAGCCGCGGUAAUACGUAGGGUGCAAGCGUUAAUCGGAAUUACUGGGCGUAAAGCGUGCGCAGGCGGUUUUGUAAGACAGAGGUGAAAUCCCCGGGCUCAACCUGGGAACUGCCUUUGUGACUGCAAGGCUUGAGUGCGGCAGAGGGGGAUGGAAUUCCGCGUGUAGCAGUGAAAAUGCGUAGAUAUGCGGAGGAACACCGAUGGCGAAGGCAAAUCCCCUGGGCCUGCACUGACGCUCAUGCACGAAAGCGUGGGGAGCAAACAGGAUUAGAUAGCCCUGGUAGUCCACGCCCUAAAACGAUGUCAACUGGUUGUUGGGAAGGUUCCUUCUCAGUAACGUAGCUAACGCGUGAAGUUGACCGCCUGGGGAGUACGGCCGC